rnacentral:tRNA from 1 species
GCGUCAGUAGCUCAAUUGGUCAGAGCGGCAUCACACUCCAUUUUAUGCAGAAAUAAAUUCAAGAUGCAGUAUCGGUUCGAGUCCGGUCUGACGCG